UACAGAGGGGGCAAGCGUUGUUCGGAAUUACUGGGCGUAAAGGGCGCGUAGGCGGCCUUCUAAGUCGAACGUGAAAUCCCUGGGCUCAACCCAGGAACUGCGUCCGAUACUGGAAGGCUUGAAUCCGGGAGAGGGAUGCGGAAUUCCAGGUGUAGCGGUGAAAUGCGUAGAUAUCAGGAGGAACACCGGUGGCGAAGGCGGUUCUCUGGGCAUGUCCUGACGCUGAGGAGCGAAAGUGUGGGGAGCGAACAGG
rnacentral:rRNA from 1 species